rnacentral:antisense_RNA from 1 species
UUUAACUUCUCUCUGCUUUACAUUUACAAGCGGUAAUACAAAGAGACAGGAUUAUAUGGUCUCCAAGGUCCCAUCCAGCCCAUUUAACACAGCGUUGUGGCUCUGGAGACCUGGAAGCACCACUAACUGUUCUCCUGAUUUUCUGAUGCUCAGCCACAUCAACCUGUCAUGCUAGUUGUGAGGAGAAGUCAAGGACAGUGACACAGCCAGCCAGUCUGAGGGGUUUUCCAUCAUCCUGAAGGAGUUGCCCUAUCCUGCUUUUCACUGGAGGGGGCAUGGAUGGGUCUGGAAUGUAUAAUUGGAGUAGACAUUCUCAGCAGCUGGCAGAAACCCCACAUUUGUUCCAUGACAUGUGGAAUGAAGGCUACGAUGGUAGGAAAAGAUAAGUGGAAGCUGCUAAAACUGCCUUUACCUUGAAAAAUAUUAAACACAAAGAAACACUACAUUCCUGGAAAGACUGCACCAUCAAGCACUUGAAAGACUCAGGGAUGGGGUGAUACUUAUUAUGUUCUCACUCAACUUGCCUGUGCGGGAGUCAGAUGAAUCUUGGAGAAUGACAGUGGAUUAUUAUAAGCUUAACCAGGUGAUGACUCCAAUUGCAGCUGCUGUACUGGAUGUGGUUUCAUUGCUUGAGCAAGUUAACACAUCCCCUGGUACCUGGUAUGCAGCUAUUGAUCUAGCAAAUGCCUUUUUCUCCAUACCUCACAAUAAGAACAACCAGAAUCAGUUUGCUUUUAGCUAGCAAGGUCGGCAAUAUAGCUUCACUGUGCUGCAUCAGGGGUAUUUUAAUUCUCUACCACUAUGUCAUAAUUUAGUUUGCAGGAAUCUUUAUCACUUUUCCCUUCCAAAAGAUAUCACACUAGUGUAUUACACUGGUGACAUGAUGCUGAUUGGACGUAGUGAGCAAGAAGUAGCAACUACUCUAUAGUUAUUGGUAAGACAUUUGCAUGUCGGAGAGUGAAUUUUCAAGAAAAUUCAGUGAAAUUUCUAGGGAUCAGUAUGUGGAGCACGUGAGAUAUCCCUUCUAAGGUAAAGGUUAAGUUGAUGCAUUUGCCUCACCUUCAACCAUAAAAGAGGAACAAUGCCUAGUGGGCCUCUUUGGAUUCUGGAGGCAACAUACUCCUUAUUUGAGUGUGUUACUCUAGUUCAUUUACU